AUACUUACCUGGCAGGGGAGAUACCAUGAUCACAAAGGUGGUUUUCCCAGGGCGAGGCUUAUCCAUUGCACUCUGGAUGUGCUGACCCCUACGAUUUCCCCAAAUGUGGGAAAGUAUUAUGUAUUCUAUAUC
rnacentral:snRNA from 1 species